ensembl:lncRNA
GAUGCAAGCCACCUUCUGAGACUGAGAGGAACUGAGGAGCUGAGGUGGUUUGGCAGAAGUGGACCAUGAGGGACUGAGAAGGGACCUGAGAGGAUGAGGCUGUCUCAGAAAGACCGUUAAAAAAAAAAGAGUUUGGAUGCUACUGAUGUACCAGAUGAAGGCACCCCUCCAGGCCUGACAUUCACAGCCAUCGAGGACAGCGAGUGCUGAGGAAGAGUAGGCAGUGCUUCCUGGGAAAAGGUGAAGAGUCCUGGAGUACAGUAGCCGGUCUGCCCUGCAGGUUGUCAUGACGCUCACUGAAGUGAUGGAUGUGAAAUGACUUUUGCCAAAAUGAACGCCAGACCUAAUCAAGAGAAUCAUACGGUGUUCUACACUUGGUUCAGAACAUACUGGAAAUACCCACCCGUGCAUCACGCCAAGCAGGAGUGCAGGAAAUGUAAGCUGCUUUCCUUUAACCCCCUCGAAGGGGUCACUUGAGGUUGAGGGCAAAGGGGCUUCCCCAGCCUAGAAGCUGAUGGGCCUCUGGCUCCUGCUUCCCCCUUCCUCCUCCAGCUAAUGACAAACACCUGGAUGUCUUAACGUCCUCCGUGAUGUCUUAACGUCCUCCGUGUCCUCAUCUGUUAUUCUGGGACACAGCCUGGGGAGGCUACCUGAGUAAGACCCCCCUGACUGAGGCUGGCCUCUUCUUGCCACGUGGCUGGCCCAGUGCCAUCCCACUUGAUGGAUGCAGAAGGGUGAGGCACUGAUCCUGCUCGUUGGACAGGAUGCUGGCAGGAGGGUGGGAGGAGCAGGGGCGGAGCUUCCAGAACAAAGGUGAACAGGGAGCCCUGGGGGCCCAGAUAGGCAUCAAAAAGGCUCUGCAGAGGGAGCAGGCCGCAGCAGCUGCCCGCCUCUGCGCCCAGCAGUAGGUCAUACAACCCUCGCCUGGUCCCUCCUGCCUGCCCUGGACGGGCGCCGAGGAACACUUCGCGUAGAGAGGCCCUGUUCUCCAGCGUGAUUGCGCCCACACUGCUCUGUGGCUUUCUCUACCUGGUGUGGGUUGCUACUGCAG